CAGCAGCCGCGGUAAUACGUAGGGUCCAAGCGUUAAUCGGAAUUACUGGGCGUAAAGCGUGCGCAGGCGGUUCGGAAAGAAAGGUGUGAAAUCCCAGGGCUUAACCUUGGAACUGCACUUUUAACUACCGGGCUAGAGUACGUCAGAGGGGGGUAGAAUUCCACGUGUAGCAGUGAAAUGCGUAGAGAUGUGGAGGAAUACCGAUGGCGAAGGCAGCCCCCUGGGAUGAUACUGACGCUCAUGCACGAAAGCGUGGGGAGCAAACAGGAUUAGAUACCCUGGUAGUCCACGCCCUAAACGAUGUCAACUAGCUGUUGGGGUUUAUUAACCUUAGUAGCGCAGCUAACGCGUGAAGUUGACCGCCUGGGGAGUACCGUCGCAAGAUUAAAACUCAAAGGAAUUGAC
rnacentral:rRNA from 1 species